rnacentral:rRNA from 1 species
CACGUAGGGCGCAAGCGUUGUCCGGAAUUAUUGGGCGUAAAGAGCUCGUAGGCGGUCUGUUGCGUCCGCUGUGAAAACUCGGGGCUUAACCCCGAGCCUGCAGUGGAUACGGGCAGACUAGAGGUAGGUAGGGGAGAAUGGAAUUCCCGGUGUAGCGGUGAAAUGCGCAGAUAUCGGGAGGAACACCGGUGGCGAAGGCGGUUCUCUGGGCCUUACCUGACGCUGAGGAGCGAAAGCCUGGGGAGCGAACAGG